CAGUUGUAACUCUUUUGGGAAACCCUCAUCUUUAUGUACAGCACGCUUUCCCGGCCUUGUCUCGUUUUGCGUGUUGUGUUAUAUGUCUGUUUGUUCUUUGUUUUCCAAAUGCACACUCAACCCAGGAGCCCACAGGCUUCUCAAUUUUUAGUCUGUUAGCUUUCUGUGGUAAGUUUAGAAGCCAAAAGCGCUUACAGACUGAGUACCUUAAGGUUUUUCCAUGAAUUUCAGGAAAUAAUGAGAGGAGGAUGACCCCACACUCCAAACAGAAGUCUCCUGGCCUGGGUGACCCCUUCGAGACCUCACCUCUGUGGGAACAGUGUGGCUGCUGCGUCUUCCUUUCUUGAUUCUGGCUAGGAGAUGAAUCUGUUAGAAACGACAUCAUGACUCCAACUUUAUAUUUUGUGCCCUGUGCCAUUUAGAGUGGUCCCGGAUAAAGUCAAUGUCAUCACUCAUCACCUUCCCAUCUUGGUUGGUAAAUGAUUUGUCUGGAAUCCUUCCAGCUAUACCUUAGGUAAACAUUGUUUGAACACUGUGUCCUUCAAUUGUGUUUCUAUAAGCAGUUUCUGGUUGUGUCCCCAGUCACUAUUAGAGUUGAUACAGUCUCAUGACACAUACCAGGAGUUUUAUACAAAAACACUUGCAUAAAAUCUGUUAUGUGAAUUUCUCCCUCUUUUUUUCUGUUGCACAUAAUUACUCUGUGUCCUGUAGUAUGCUUAAAGUCAGAAUUCCCUAUGAUUUAAGAUGAACACAUCUGAGCUUUGUAGACAUUCACCACAAGUAACGUGUUCUUCACAGAAGACUCUCAUUCCUUACAAAAGAUUCCAGGCAUCCUCCACUCCCCAGAGGUCUCAGAGGCCUGUGACAACACUUCAAGAGGGAAGACUCCUUUCUCAGGGAGAGGAGCAGAGGAGGCACAGUGAGGGUCCAGCUUCAGAACUUUUUGCCAGCAGUGGCUGUGAUUCCAUGAGCAGAAUAUGAGCCAUUUAUUCCCACUCAUUUUUUUUGUGUUCUUAAUAUACCAAAAGCAGAGCAUCUGGAGUCACCAUCGAGGAGGGAUGCAGGGUGAACCUGGACAUGGAUGGCUGCCUGUCUGGAGAAUGCUACUUCAUUUGUCUGUAAUUACUUCUGUUAACCCUCUAGGACAGGACCCUUGCCAUUUUACUUCCGCAGACCUGGGCAGUGAUGUGUGGUGGCUGUAGGUUAACCUCUUGCAUCUACUACCCCAAGCUGUAGGUGGUAUCCAGUGUCAGGGACAGAGUUUUCAGGUAGUGAUGCUACUCUCUUGGAUCCUGGUGGCAGAGAAUGUGGCAGGUGCUGACGCAUUCUUCUCUGGGUUACAGCUGCUCUUGGUAUUGGUUCUCUUCUCUGGCAUAUGGAUAUAGCUGUCACUUCUGCAGGGCAGUCUGGAUCCUGGGGAUCUCCUCUGUUAACUGGACGAUUCUGCAUGCCCCGCCCCCAUGGACUAUUAGGCACGUCCACCUCCUGAACCUUGGUGGCCCUGAGGCCACCCGGAACCCCUCCACCUGCAACACUUGGUGUCUCUUGUGGAGAAGGAAUGGGGCUGUAUGCAGAAAACCAGACAUAGCGCUUCAGCAGAAAUGCCCUGUACACAGUCCACGUGCUGGGAUCUGUGAGGCAUGAGGUACAGUGUUACGUAUGUCCAUCCAGUUGUGCCCCAAGCCAUCCAUAGUUGUUCGAUGAAUGAUGAAUACAUCUGAAUCAUGGCUUUUAUGGGUAUUCAUCAAGUUAUACGGGAUGGUUCUUCAAGUUCUUCUUGGGGAUCACUGGAGGCAUGUGGGAUACCCUGUGCAUGUGAUUUGGGAUCUGACUGGGGCAAAGAGUUUAAGUUGUCAGAAGUAUGAGGGGAGGGUGUUUUGUUUUUGAUAUCCAAACAGUCUACUCAAAUCAG